rnacentral:lncRNA from 1 species
AAUGAAUCCACCAUUAUAAUAAUCCAAAUAACGCAAGGCUUAGCAGCCAGGGAAGUAAUUUGACGAAAAUUAAGGCAACACUUCAGCUGCAAGUUUACUGAACUACAUCAUGACAGAAAGUUUGGCAACAAUCAUAUAAGCUCAUGAUGUUCGAGGUAAAAAUCAUAUCAGAUGGUAGAAAUUGCAAAAGAAUAUAUAUGUGAGUAUGUUUCUUACAUAUUGAAACCAAGAGUUAAAAACGUUGAAAUGAAUACACACACACACACACGCACACACACACGUCGUGUAUAAGUGUGGAGCAUAACACAUUGAAAAGCUAAUGACUUCAAUUGCAUUUUCUCUCAACAAUGUUAGCAUUAUGUGGGUAUCUCCUAAAUUUCACAGCCUUAUUUUUGCAUGCACUACGGUUAAAAGUUUAUGCAUGCGUUGUGUGGAUAAUUUGGAAGGAGGACUAUGUGGAAAAUUUGGAAUUUUCACAAAUGGAUUUAACUUUGAAGGCAAGGAACCAUCUAUUACUCACGUUCCAAGGUGUGAAGUGGGAGAGAGGGGAUGUGGUGAUUAAGGUUUUGAUGACUAAUGCUAUAUAAGGAGGCCCCACAACUUCUCCCAUCGCCUAAUACAUAAGAGCAUCUACAACUAUACCCCUCAGAAUCCCGCCUCCCUAAUACGUCCUGGCAGACGACCUAUUCACUGUCGGUGACAAAAUUGCCGCCCAACCGGACACCUUAAACCGUCAACAUAAGUUUGGGCUGUCCGGCACCCCUCCAACCCAUAUCUGUGGCGGAUUGGAUACAGGGACGCUCGGGCGUGUCCGCCACGUUGUACUCACAGGAGGGAUCUAUCUCAAAUCUCUUCAGGUCACCCCUAACCUAGCCCAACUUGCCCUAUUCCUCUCUUAUUUUCUGCCUCGUCCACACAACCGCUACCAUAGCUCCGCCGCCACCCUAGCUCCGUCGUCAGCCCCAACCGACAACACCGUCAUCCAUGUCGCCACUGGACGCUGCCCUGAUACGUCCAACUCCUCCCGGCAUACACCUCGCACUCUAUGUGGUCGAUGAAAUGUCUGAGUAAUUUUUUUAUUUUGCUCAUUUGUAGGCAAACAAUGGAUUCGUCUGAUGAGUAUUGGAACAAGGACCUUGUAUAAUUUAUAUAUAAAGGGUUCAUUGAUUUGUCAGAUUCGAACGACAAAAAUGUUGGAAUGAUGAUGAGCAUCCAUAAUGAAUUGGAGAAGCAAUAGGAGAAUGUCCUGAACUUCAAGGGUUCGAUAAACGGCAGGAUAGUUGUUCCUUGAGAUAGGAUUACUGGUGCAAAGCUUCUCUACAAGGACAACUUCACACCGGAUCUAACAUACCAUGAUGAAGGUUUUUUUUGGCGUCGCUACCGGAUGAGCAGAGUUUGUUCAUACGCGUAGUGAAUGUCGUGGAGGAGGUUGAUGACUACUUCAAGCUGAAGAAAGAUUGUUGUGAACAACUUUUCUUCUCUCAUCUGCAAAAUUGCACAACUGCUCUCAGGAUGCUCGAUUAUGAUAAAGCCGCAAAUGCCAUCGAUGUUGAAAUCCAGAUGGGAGAGACAACAUGCAUGCAUCAUGGUGAAAGUGUUUGUACCAAAGAGCAUCAAGUGGAUCCCGGUAUGCUUUGUCAAGGGCGUCUGCUACAAAUAAGUCGGAUGAUUUCUCUAAGAAAUCAUCUGCCUAUUCAGCCGUUGGAUCAGGGUGUUGGCUGUCGUUGGAUCACAAUAGGUAGCAGCGAGCACAUCAGCUUCAACCCAACGCCACUGCAGCCUCGCGCGAAGCUCCAAUGAAGCACCGAUGGCGUCCGAUGAGUUCCAACGCGGCACCAACGCUCCGGUGAAGUUCCAUUGCAACUCUGGUUGUGCUCCAUUGCAGCCUCGGCGGAGCUCCAACGCAGCACCGACGCUCCGACAAAGCUCCACUACAACUCCGGCCGAGCUUCAUUGCAGCCCUGGCAAAGCUCCGACGGCUCUGACAGAGCUCCAUUGCAACUCCAGUCGAGCUUCAUUGCAGCCCUGGCAAAGCUCCGACGGCUCCGACAACACUCCAUUGCAACUCCAACCGAGCUCCAUUGCAGCUGCGGCGGAGCUCCAACGCAGCGCCGCCGCCUCCGGCGAAGCUCCCUUUUCCGUGUUGCUCUGCAGCAAGCGUCGCCGCAACGACCGGCCGGCUUGCCGCCGAUAGGCUCCUCUGCAACAGCAGCGAGGUCACGCUGAUUUGAAGAAGAAAAACGUGACGCUCCUCGUGAAAAGCACCGAUGGGCAUCUCUUCCUUUGCAAAACAGGUCGCCAUGGAGUUUCCUGCAGCAAUUAGCGCCGGCGAGGAGUGGUGGCCGGCCGGGCAACAGCCCAGGGAGGAGAGGGCGCUGGGGAGAGAGAGAGGAAAGGGGUGGGGGGAGAGAGCGCGCUAGUGCGGAGGGGAUUAGCGAGAGACGACGAGAUGGGAACAAUCGAGAAGAUAAGGCUUCAUCGGUCCCGCAAGGGACACGUGGCAAGAGAGGGAAGGGACUUAAGCGGCGAGAAAAUCAUCCGCCUGAUUUUAAGCGUUUUCCUUUGUCAAGUCGAUUGCGUGCAUUCAUAAUGAAAGAAUUGAUCGAAAGGUUUACGCAAGUAGUAUUAAGGUCACACCAAAAAGAACAUUGUCAUACCUAAAGUAGUGGCAUUGAAGAACUUGUGAAUUUUACAUGUUUUUUUUGGCAUGUUUGGCUCUAACGAUGAUAUCAAUGUACUUUAUUCAAGAGACUUUGUGAUGGUAGCACAAGUAUAAAAUAUGAUACUACCUUAUUAAUAGCAUCUUAUUCUCGGUGGAUGAUAUUUAUGAAGACUAUAUCCAGCCACAAGGUAACAAACAAUGUCUCUCUUCACAAAUAAGACGGUACGAUGUGAAAAGGGUAUUCUAAGUGCUUCAAAGUCAGCUUGUUUCGUGUAACUUCAAUAAUGUGAAAACUAACACUUUGCCAGCUGAUGACAUGUUGUGUAAUCUUGAACACCAUGAUUGUGGAGAAUGGAGGCAAAGGCAACCCUAUGCAUGAUUUAGAGAACCCCAAGUUCAUGCCAAUAUGUGAAUUUAUGCAACUUUUAUGUUUCAACUAUGAUUUUGCUGCGUAUGAAUACAUUUUAUGCUUGAACCACGUUUUUAUGUGCAAUUUCCCUCCUUCUGUAAGGAAUAUCGUAACCUUUAAUUAUAUGUGGGAUAUACCAACUGUUUCACACAUCCAACAAUACACAUGAACAGAGAGUAAGCUGAACCAACCAGCGGAGCGUAUCAGAUUCAUAGAUUUGCACAUACACAUGGUCUACGCUAGAGUAAAACAGGGCACCAAUGCAUCAAUGAACCCACUAUUAUAAUAAUCCAAAUAACGCAAGGCUUAGCAGCCAGGGAAGUAAUUUGACGAAAAUUAAGGCAGCACUUCAGCUGCAAGUUUACUGAACUGCAUCACGACAGAAAGUCUGGCAACAAUCAUAUAAGUUCAUGAUGUUCGAGGUAAAAAUCUAUCAUCACACCAUAAAAGAGAGUUCUACUUCAGGUUUAUCCGAUAACAUGGAAACUCUAACAUCCUCUCCUGCAUUAAAGAAGCUGAUGACUUCCGCACCAUCUGAAUCAC